GUAGGUGGCAAGCGUUGUCCGGAAUUAUUGGGCGUAAAGCGCGCGCAGGCGGUUCUUUAAGUCUGAUGUGAAAGCCCACGGGCUCAACCGUGGAGGGUCACUGGAAACUGGAGAACUUGAGUACAGGAGAGGAAAGCGGAAUUCCACGUGUAGCGGUGAAAUGCGUAGAGAUGUGGAGGAACACCAGUGGCGAAGGCGGCUUUCUGGUCUGUAACUGACGCUGAGGCGCGAAAGCGUGGGGAGCAAACAGGAUUAGAUACCCUGGUAGUCCACGCCGUAAACGAUGAGUGCUAAGUGUUAGGGGGUUUCCGCCCCUUAGUGCUGCAGCUAACGCAUUAAGCACUCCGCCUGGGGAGUACGGCCGCAAGGCUG
rnacentral:rRNA from 1 species